AUGAACGCUGGCGGCGUGUCUGAGGCAUGCAAGUCGAGAGGGUUUAGACCCUCGGCAGACGGGUGCGUAAGACAGUGGUAAUUUACCCCGAAGUCUGGAAUAACCCACCGAAAGGUGGAAUAAUGCCGGAUGGACAAGGGGGGACAUAAGUCAUUCCCUUGUAAAGAUUUAUCGCUUCGGGAGAAGCCUUUGGCCCAUCAGCUAGUUGGUGAGGUAAUAGCUCACCAAGGCAACGACGGGUAGCGGGUGUGAGAGCAUGACCCGCCUCACUGGAACUGAAACACUGUCCAGACUCCUACGGGAGGCUGCAGUCAAGAAUCUUCCCCAAUGGACGAAAGUCUGAGGGAGCGACGCCGCGUAACCGAAGAAGAUCUUCGGAUUGUAAAGGUUUUUUAUCUAGGAAAAAUUUGUGAUGGUACUAGAUGAAUAAGGGGCUGCUAACUUCGU
rnacentral:rRNA from 1 species